AGACCCGAAACCCGGUGAUCUAGCCAUGGGCAGGUUGAAGGUUGGGUAACACUAACUGGAGGACCGAACCGACUAAUGUUGAAAAAUUAGCGGAUGACCUGUGGCUGGGGGUGAAAGGCCAAUCAAACCGGGAGAUAGCUGGUUCUCCCCGAAAGCUAUUUAGGUAGCGCCUCGUGAAUUCAUCUCCGGGGGUAGAGCACUGUUUCGGCUAGGGGGCCAUCCCGGCUUACCAACCCGAUGCAAACUGCGAAUACCGGAGAAUGUUAUCACGGGAGACACACGGCGGGUGCUAACGUCCGUCGUGAAGAGGGAAACAACCCAGACCGCCAGCUAAGGUCCCAAAGUCAUGGUUAAGUGGGAAACGAUGUGGGAAGGCCCAGACAGCCAGGAUGUUGGCUUAGAAGCAGCCAUCAUUUAAAGAAAGCGUAAUAGCUCACUGGUCGAGUCGGCCUGCGCGGAAGAUGUAACGGGGCUAAACCAUGCACCGAAGCUGCGGCAGCGACACUGUGUGUUGUUGGGUAGGGGAGCGUUCUGUAAGCCUGUGAAGGUGGCCUGUGAGGGUUGCUGGAGGUAUCAGAAGUGCGAAUGCUGACAUAAGUAACGAUAAAGCGGGUGAAAAGCCCGCUCGCCGGAAGACCAAGGGUUCCUGUCCAACGUUAAUCGGGGCAGGGUGAGUCGACCCCUAAGGCGAGGCCGAAAGGCGUAGUCGAUGGGAAACGGGUUAAUAUUCCCGUACUUGGUGUUACUGCGAAGGGGGGACGGAGAAGGCUAUGUUGGCCGGGCGACGGUUGUCCCGGUUUAAGCGUGUAGGUGUGUGUUCCAGGUAAAUCCGGUUCACUUUAACACUGAGGCGUGACGACGAGGCACUACGGUGCUGAAGCAACAAAUGCCCUGCUUCCAGGAAAAGCCUCUAAGCAUCAGGUAACAUCAAAUCGUACCCCAAACCGACACAGGUGGUCAGGUAGAGAAUACCAAGGCGCUUGAGAGAAC
rnacentral:rRNA from 1 species